rnacentral:lncRNA from 1 species
CCGCCUGCGCUCCGGGUCGGAGCCACUCCGGCGCGUGCGCGCGUGGUCUCGGGCCGACCCGAGUGGCCGGGUUCCCUCGGCUCCAGGCCCCCCGCCGCCCCUCCCGCCUCCCAGCCAACCGGUUCCGUUCCUCCCUUUCCUCACGGAAUGGGGCCGGCGCUGCUCGGGGUCGCGCGCCCUGGACCCGGCUCGCGCUCGGUCUCGCGCUGUCAGCCUCUGCCUGGCUCGCGCCGCCUUGCGCUUUCCCUCAGUCAGUGGCGCCGAAGGCUCCGUUAAGCAGCGGCCGCGGUUCCUGUUUCCGUUUCUUCCUCUCCCUUCAGUCGGGGAGUAGCAUCCUCCACUCCGCCACCCCUCCCACUCGCCCGGCGCGGCCAGCUGCAGUGGCUGUGGCGACGGGGGACGGCGCCGACCGCCUCGCUCCCGCCUCGGGUUGCUGCUCUGGCUUAGGCCAUCUGUGACCCUGGUGGUGUUUUCAUUCACUAUAAGUCCUUCCCAUCUUUAUUAACUGAGCAAGUUCAGGAUUAUUGGCUGACUAGAGACUGUCAAAGAGUAUUUUUGUGUUUUGC